GACGAACGCUGGCGGCGUGCCUAAUACAUGCAAGUAGAACGCACAGUUUAUACCGUAGCUUGCUACACCAUAGACUGUGAGUUGCGAACGGGUGAGUAACGCGUAGGUAACCUGCCUGGUAGCGGGGGAUAACUAUUGGAAACGCUAGCUAAUACCGCAUAAUAUUGAUUAUUGCAUGAUAAUUGAUUGAAAGAUGCUAUUGCAUCACUACCAGUUGGACCUGCGUUGUAUUAGCUAGUAGGUGAGGUAACGGCUCACCUAGGCGACGAUACAUAGCCGAACGGAGAGGGUGAUCGGCCACACUGGGACUGAGACACGGCACAGACUGCUACGGGAGGGAGCAGUAGGGAAUCUUGGGCAAUGGACGAAAGUCUGACCGAGCAACGCCGCGUGAGUGAAGAAGGAUGUCGGAUCGUAAAGCUCUGUUGUAAGGGAAGAACGGGUGUGAGAGUGGAAAGUUCACACUGUGACGGUAUCUUACCAGAAAGGGACGGCUAACUACGUG
rnacentral:rRNA from 1 species